GAUAGUUUCCUUCUUAACAUGAUAAAACCCAGCUGCAAGGUGACUGAUGUAAGGAAAGAAAGCAGAUAGCCUAGCGAGGAGAAUUACAGGGAAGUAUUGAGUCAGGAAAGAAGCUUUCUGGAAUAUGCACCAGAAUCUGAAGAGAUUGGGGGCUGUAAAAGCCUGCCUGAAUCACAGCACAUCCCCAAGAAGGAGGGCUGAGGGGACUCUGAACCAAGGUGUUGAAGUGUGAGAGUCUCAGGAUUAAAGUUGUCAUCAACGGGAAUAUGGAUGGUCAGGCUUACUGCUUAAGGCAAGGGUGGUCAGGCCUAGGGGUUAGAGCUGGAAUCAGGAAUAGAGUACAGCUGGGAACAAGGCAAGCAUAAGAGAGAUCAUAGCUGUGGCCAUGUGUAUUGAAUAGCCAGAUAUUAAAUCUUGCUGUUAAGCAGCCAGGUGGGGUUGUCAAGCAAGUAGCCUGCCCUGCUGUAGCUCAGCUGUGCUUAUAGACCCCCUUUAGAGUGGGCAGGGGCAGUUAUGAGCCCUCAUUCCUGACAAAGGGAGGCUCUGUGGAAUGGGGCUAGUACCUGGAUAGAGUGCACUGUGGAAGCCUACUCAAACUGUGGCCCAGCCCCAGGGAAAGAAGUAGUAGAACCCCUUUUCCAAGAAGGAGUUGAGUCAAAGAACCUGUAUAGGAGGAGUCCUGACCAAAGGACUCCAGAAAGGCUAGGGGCUGCAGUGGUACUGGUAGAGCUCCCUGGCUCAGAGGGAAUGGGGAACAUGAAGCCUUGGAACAAGGAACACUGCUCUAAAUUUUUCUUAUUUGAAGUCAGACUCAGAAAUAGCAGAACAUACCCACUUGCAACUACAAUCAGCAAUAUACCUGCAUUUCAGUUUUUACAAGUGUGACCAUGCUGCUGUACCUCGGAACUAGGAAGGUGACCAGCUAGCAGCCUGACAUCCAGCGAUGAUUGUUGUACAGUUAUUGAACAAACAACCUGAGACAGACAAAGAUAUGAGCAAAAAGCUAGUAAGAAAUGUGUGACACUGAUAAACACACUUGAAUGGAUCCUCUCACAAAUAAACAUCAGCUUACUCACCUCUUC